GCUUGCAGGCAUGCACUUGUAGCCCUAGCUACUCAGGAGGGUGAGGAGGGAGGAUUGCUUGAUCCCAGGAAUUCUGAGCUGUAGUGAGCUAUGCCGAUUGGAUUCCUGCACUAAAUUUGGCAUCAAUAUGGUGACCUCCCGGGCACGGGGGAUCACCAGGUUGCCUGAGGAGGGGUGAACCAGCCCAGGUCGGGAAUGGAGCGGGUCAAAACUCCCAUGAUGAUCAGUAGUGAGAUCAUGCCUGUGAAUAGCCAUUACACUUCAGCCUGGGCAACAUAGCAAGAAUCAAUCU
rnacentral:SRP_RNA from 10 species